rnacentral:tRNA from 1 species
GCAGCGAUAGCUCAGUUGGUAGAGCACCGGUUUGAAGAGCCGGGUGUCGCCGGUUCGACUCCGGCUCGCUGCACCA